rnacentral:rRNA from 1 species
GACGAACGCUGGCGGCGUGCUUAACACAUGCCAGUCGAACGGAAAGGCCCUGCUUUUUUGGUGUUCUCGAGUGGCGAACGGGUGAGUAACACGUGAGUAACCUGCCCUUGACUUUGGGAUAACUUCAGGAAACUGGGGCUAAUACCGGAUAGGAGCUCCUGCUGCAUGGUGGGGGUUGGAAAGUUUCGGCGGUUGGGGAUGGACUCGCGGCUUAUCAGCUUGUUGGUGGGGUAGUGGCUUACCAAGGCUUUGACGGGUAGCCGGCCUGAGAGGGUGACCGGCCACAUUGGGACUGAGAUAGGGCCCAGACUCCUACGGGAGGCAGCAGUGGGGAAUAUUGCACAAUGGGCGGAAGCCUGAUGCAGCAACGCCGCGUGCGGGAUGACGGCCUUCGGGUUGUAAACCGCUUUCGCCUGUGACGAAGCGUGAGUGACGGUAAUGGGUAAAGAAGCACCGGCUAACUACGUG